CGGCGGGCGGGUCCUAUACAUGCAAGUCGAGCGAACAGACAAGGAGCUUGCUCCUUUGACGUUAGCGGCGGACGGGUGAGUAACACGUGGGUAACCUACCUAUAAGACUGGGAUAACUUCGGGAAACCGGAGCUAAUACCGGAUAAUAUUUCGAACCGCAUGGUUCGAUAGUGAAAGAUGGUUUUGCUAUCACUUAUAGAUGGACCCGCGCCGUAUUAGCUAGUUGGUAAGGUAACGGCUUACCAAGGCGACGAUACGUAGCCGACCUGAGAGGGUGAUCGGCCACACUGGAACUGAGACACGGUCCAGACUCCUACGGGAGGCAGCAGUAGGGAAUCUUCCGCAAUGGGCGAAAGCCUGACGGAGCAACGCCGCGUGAGUGAUGAAGGUCUUCGGAUCGUAAAACUCUGUUAUUAGGGAAGAACAUACGUGUAAGUAACUAUGCACGUCUUGACGGUACCUAAUCAGAAAGCCACGGCUAACUACGUGCCAGCAGCCGCGGUAAUACGUAGGUGGCAAGCGUUAUCCGGAAUUAUUGGGCGUAAAGCGCGCGUAGGCGGUUUUUUAAGUCUGAUGUGAAAGCCCACGGCUCAACCGUGGAGGGUCAUUGGAAACUGGAAAACUUGAGUGCAGAAGAGGAAAGUGGAAUUCCAUGUGUAGCGGUGAAAUGCGCAGAGAUAUGGAGGAACACCAGUGGCGAAGGCGACUUUCUGGUCUGUAACUGACGCUGAUGUGCGAAAGCGUGGGGAUCAAACAGGAUUAGAUACCCUGGUAGUCCACGCCGUAAACGAUGAGUGCUAAGUGUUAGGGGGUUUCCGCCCCUUAGUGCUGCAGCUAACGCAUUAAGCACUCCGCCUGGGGAGUACGACCGCAAGGUUGAAACUCAAAGGAAUUGACGGGGACCCGCACAAGCGGUGGAGCAUGUGGUUUAAUUCGAAGCAACGCGAAGAACCUUACCAAAUCUUGACAUCCUUUGACAACUCUAGAGAUAGAGCCUUCCCCUUCGGGGGACAAAGUGACAGGUGGUGCAUGGUUGUCGUCAGCUCGUGUCGUGAGAUGUUGGGUUAAGUCCCGCAACGAGCGCAACCCUUAAGCUUAGUUGCCAUCAUUAAGUUGGGCACUCUAAGUUGACUGCCGGUGACAAACCGGAGGAAGGUGGGGAUGACGUCAAAUCAUCAUGCCCCUUAUGAUUUGGGCUACACACGUGCUACAAUGGACAAUACAAAGGGCAGCGAAACCGCGAGGUCAAGCAAAUCCCAUAAAGUUGUUCUCAGUUCGGAUUGUAGUCUGCAACUCGACUACAUGAAGCUGGAAUCGCUAGUAAUCGUAGAUCAGCAUGCUACGGUGAAUACGUUCCCGGGUCUUGUACACACCGCCCGUCACACCACGAGAGUUUGUAACACCCGAAGCCGGUGGAGUAACCAUUGGAGCUAGCCGUCGAAAGGGGAUCA
rnacentral:rRNA from 1 species